UACGUAGGGGGCAAGCGUUGUCCGGAUUUAUUGGGCGUAAAGAGCGUGUAGGCGGCUAGAUAGGUCCGUUGUGAAAACUCGAGGCUCAACCUCGAGACGUCGAUGGAAACCAUCUGGCUAGAGCUCGGUAGAGGCAAGUGGAAUUCCCGGUGUAGCGGUGGAAUGCGUAGAUAUCGGGAGGAACACCUGAGGCGAAGGCGGGUUACUGGGCUGAUACUGACGCUGAUGCGCGAAAGCCAGGGGAGCAAACGGG
rnacentral:rRNA from 1 species